rnacentral:lncRNA from 1 species
AUGUCACUCUGUCCUCCUUUUUCAGAUGCUCAUUACCUCACCUGCAGGAUCCAGGAGUGUGCCGAGACCACUCGGAGUGGCCCCUUUGCCCGCUCCAUUGACAUCAGCUCCCUGGUUGUCCAGGAUGAGUAUAUCUUCAUUCAGGUAACAACAGGAGGAAGAGCCAGCUACUACGUGUCCUAUCGAAGAGAGGCCUUUGCUCAGAUAAAGCUGCCCAAGUACUCCCUGCCCAAGGACAUGCACAUCAUCAGCACAGAUGAGAACCAAGUGUUCGCAGCCGUCCAAGAGUGGAACCAGAACGACACGUACAACCUCUACAUCUCAGACACACGGGGGAUCUACUUCACGCUGGCCAUGGAGAACAUUAAGAGCAGCCGAGGUCUAAUGGGAAAUAUCAUUAUUGAACUGUACGAGGUAGCAGGCGUCAAGGGGAUCUUCCUGGCAAACAAGAAAGUGGAUGAGCAGGUGAAGACAUACAUCACUUACAACAAAGGCAGGGACUGGCGCCUGCUGCAAGCUCCAGACUCAGACCUGAGAGGAAGCCCAGUGCACUGCCUGCUGCCCUUCUGCUCCUUACACCUGCACUUGCAGCUUUCUGAAAACCCGUAUUCUUCAGGAAGAAUCUCCAGCAAGGAGACAGCCCCAGGACUUGUGGUGGCCACAGGCAACAUUGGUCCGGAGCUGUCCUACACUGACAUUGGAGUGUUCAUCUCCUCUGAUGGCGGGAACACAUGGAGACAGAUCUUUGAUGAAGAGUACAAUGUCUGGUUCCUAGACUGGGGUGGCGCCCUCGUGGCCAUGAAACACACUCCUCUGCCAGUAAGGCACCUGUGGGUGAGUUUUGACGAGGGCCGCUCCUGGGACAAGUAUGGCUUCACUCCGCUUCCUCUUUUCGUGGAUGGGGCUCUGGUGGAGGCAGGCGUGGACACCCACAUCAUCACGUUCCACCAACUGCACACAUGUCAAGCUGAGGACAGCCUUCAAUACCUGGACCUUUGGGGACACUCAGACUGUAGCAGCGUGGAGGGUUCAGAGCACGUACCUGUGUUUGGUGGUCUGUGAGGUCUUCUCACUCCGAAGGACCCUGCUCUGCUUUAAGCUUUUGUGCUCAUGUAUUUCUAUGCACUCAGAAUCAGUUCUUUGCUAAUACUGAUGGGUUUUGUGGAGGGACCAAUAUAGGGGCAAAUAGCUAGUUGUUAUCCUCUGCCAUUUUCAUGGGUGAUCAUAUAUGAAGAAUCCUUUCCAAAUGCAACUAUAUGGUUUUGACCAAAUCUCAAAGUCUGGCCUCAAACUGCACUGCCCCUCACGCACACAUAGCCAGCCUCACAACCAGAGGAUUGGCCACUGCUUUGCACUUUCUGAGUGAAAGAAAGAAUGCAGCCACAAUGGUCAAUGGAGAUGGUGCAGGGACUGAAGGAAAAAACAAACUGACAGAGUAGCACUGGAUCCCAGGGUGCAGUCAGCUGGACCUGAGCUAGGAGUCUGUGCAGGGUGGCUCUGGAGCAACCGUCCUCGGCUCGGCCUCUGGACCUGCAUUUCUCCAUUUGUAAAACCAAAUCUCUCCAUCUACUUUUUACUAAAAUGUUGAGAUUCUGAGAAAUUGUUCCAUUUGUAUGAAAUGAGGCAGGAGCUCUAAAAAGUCACUUAGGACAAGUGCCAGAAAGAGUGAUUUUAAACUUUCUCCUUCAUUUCCCUUGGAGUCUUCCACCUACUAGUGAAGUCUCCCCUGCUCUAAGGCAGUGAGCUCUGCCUUUGAAAUACUUGAUACUCAUACGUGGGCAUUUACUCUACGGUACACACUGGGUUGGACCCCAGCACCCCAGUCAUAAAUUGAAAGACAAGAUGUCACCUCUUAGGAGGAGAGGCUAUGGUCAACCCAGGAGAUACGCUGCAUUGGUAAGAGUUAGUUUUAGAUAUGCUGAGUUAAUGAUAAGACUUACUUGGGCCUGUUGUAAAAUGUGAAUAAAACUUACCUGUAGAACUUAUUGCUCAGGAAGUGAGGCUGUGAAUUUGAGCUUUGCCCAGUAAUAUUGUUCACUCUCUUAAUGUACCCCCAAGUCAGAAUUAUCUAACCAUAUAAACUUCUGAUUAAAAUUUCCAUAUUUC